UCGAAAUGUGAUUUUUUUGGGUUCCAAGGCUUAGGGUCCAUCUUCGGGGUAUUUCUAUAGGUUUAACACAUGUCCUUCGUUCAAAAGUAUUUCACCAGCUAAAAUGUCUCGUCAUCGUCUUAUAAAAAUUUUUGAUCAAGAAAAUUUGGAGUUAACGUAGGGCCUUUCUCCUCUUCCUUCGACUUCUUUUUUUGGUUUUUAAUGGCCCGAUAGUUCUCUUUAAUUCCAGGAAAAUUACUGAUCCUAAUAAGAAACAAGGAAGAAUCUCUUAUGUUAAUUGAAAAUCAAAGCCUCCUGAUAAGGAGAGGGGUGCACCUCAAAAGCAGAAGAUCUCAUAUGAGAAAAUUAUUGUUGUUGCUAAUGGAGAGCGUCGCUCUUCAGUAAGCUAACAUGUUACAGUUGUCCAACUUAAUUAAGCUAAUUGUUUAAGUUUCCUUCUCCUUAUCCCUUUUAAUGUCUCUGUUCUCUUGGAACUGCCAAGGGAGUUGGAAAUGAAUAUUUUAUGGUCAUGAGAGUAUGCCCGAUAAUAUGAGCCCUCUGUGUGUAUUAUCCUUGAGCUAAAAAAUUAGUGGGGAUAGAGCUGUGAAAGCAAUUCGUAAGUUGGAUUUUCACAUUUCGUUUAGAGAAGAUGCAAAGGGUUUCUCUAGAGGAAUAUGGGUGAUGUGGAAUGGCAAAAAUAUUAGGGUCCAAAUUUUGGAUUCUAAUUUUUAGUUUGUGCAUUUCAGUUGGGGUGAGAGAGAGCAUUCGAAUGUGUGUACAACUAUCUAUAGUCAUCCUAAUCCUUCUGUUCGCGAGCUUCUUUAGGAUGGUAUUUGUCAAAUGGCUCAGAAUAUUUAUAUUCCUUAGGUUCUUAUAGGUGAUUUUAACAGUUUUUUGAGCUUGGAUCAAAAAAUGGGUGCUCCUUCGCUUGCCAAAUGUCUUAAGUUUUGCAGGUGUAUGGAUGACUAUCAAUUGCAAGACUUGGGGCUCGUUGGGGCUAAAUUUACUUGGCAUCGUGGCAGAGUUAGCGAGCAUCUUGGUCAGGCUAUUUUGUCCUUAACUUGGAGGAUGAAAUUUCAUGAGGCUAUUGUGAGAAAUCUCCCUCAAAUUAAGUACGAUCAUUGCCCUUUCAUGUUACAUCUCUUUGGGGCGAGUAUUCUGCCUGUGAAUAGGAGACCCUUUCAUUUCGAAGCUGCUUGGCUAACGCAUGGUUCAGAUUUGGAAUAAGGAAAGUUUUAGAAACAUAUUUGCUAAAAAGAGAAAGCUCCUUACAAGACUUGCGGGUAUUCAUAGAGCCGUAGAAAUUCAUGACUCUAAGAAUCUCCAGAAUUUUUUGUUUUGUCUGUCAAGAGAAUUGGAGGAAAUUCUGUUGCAAGAGGAGAUCGUUUGGUUUCAAAACUCCAGGGAUAAAUGGUUGCAUUUUGGCAACCAUAAUACAAAAUACUUUCGUAACUCUACUAUUUAGCGUAGAAGAAGAAAUCGUGUCGAAGCUUUGAAGGAUGAUUCUGGGCAAUGGGUGUAUGAUAUUGUGUCACUAAAUCCAUGGCUUUUUCUUUUUAAUAACCGGUUGUAUAUGGAAGAGAACAGUCCAUCACUCUUUAUGAGAAGCCAUUUCCGCCUAUUAGCAAUGAGUUGCAACCGCUUCUUUAAUGCAGUCAUAUUGGAUGAUACUCAAAAAGCAAUCUAUGAUAUGGGCGCCUAUAAGGCCUGGUCCUAGAUGGUAUAAGCCAAUGGGUUUCGGUGGGGGAAUCUCUGUAUCAGAUGGUUGCAACAUCCUUCAAGACUAGAGAGAUGGAUUUGCAAUUGAAUGAAGCUCUUAUAGUUCUUAUCCUGAAAAUUCAUGCGCUUGAGAGUUUGUCUCAUAUGAGACCAACUGGUUUAUGUAAUGUAGCUUAUAAGGCUAUCACUAAAAUUAUUGUCAGUCAUUUAAAGUCUUUUAUGAACUCUUUACUAGUUGAAACUCGGUAUAGCUUUAUGCCUAGAAGGCAAAUUACUAAUGAUAUGAUCAUUGUGCAAGAAGUUUUCAAUUCUAUGAAGCGUGCGACGUCUAAGAAAGGGUGCAUGGUCAUUAAAGUCGACUUGGAGAAAGCGUAUGAUAGGCUGCGAUAGAGUUUCAUCAGAGAGACAAUAAAUAUUAGUUGGCCUUCUUAAUAUGUUUAUUGACAUAAUUAUAUCUUGCAUCACUACGACUAGCAUGCGGGUUCUGUGGAAUGGUGAAGCUACUGCAAGUUUUCAGCCUUUAAGGGGCAUACGUCAAGGGGACCCCUUGUCUCCAUACAUAUUUGUUUUGUGUAUGGCGCGUCUAGCACAUUUGAUUGAAGGGUCAGUUAGAAAUGGUCAGUGAAACCUAGUUUGUCUCAAUCGUGGUGAUCUUGGGCCGUCACACUUGUUUUUCGUGGAAGAUGCUAUUUAUGAAAGCUUCUCUCACUCAAGCUCGAGUUAUUCAACAAUGUCUAGAUUGCUUUUGUGACACUUCUAGUCAGUGUGUGAACUCUAUGAAAACUAAGAUAUUUUUAUCGAAAGGAGUAUUUACUUCUCAAA